AACGAACGCUGGCGGCAGGCUUAACACAUGCAAGUCGAACGCAUCGCAAGAUGAGUGGCAGACGGGUGAGUAACACGUGGGAACAUACCCUUUGGUGCGGAACAACAGCUGGAAACGGCUGCUAAUACCGCAUGCGCCCUACGGGGAAGAUUAUCGCCGAGGAUUGGCCCGCGUCUGAUUAGCUAGUUGGUGAGGUAAUGGCUCACCAAGGCGACGAUCAGUAGCUGGUCUGAGAGGAUGAUCAGCCACACUGGGACUGAGACACGGCCCAGACUCCUACGGGAGGCAGCAGUGGGGAAUAUUGGACAAUGGGCGCAAGCCUGAUCCAGCCAUGCCGCGUGAGUGAUGAAGGCCCUAGGGUUGUAAAGCUCUUUCAGCGAGGAGGAUAAUGACGUUACUCGCAGAAGAAGCCCCG
rnacentral:rRNA from 1 species